GACGAACGCUGGCGGCGUGCCUAAUACAUGCAAGUCGAACGCUGAAGAGAGGAGCUUGCUCUUCUUGGAUGAGUUGCGAACGGGUGAGUAACGCGUAGGUAACCUGCCUUGUAGCGGGGGAUAACUAUUGGAAACGAUAGCUAAUACCGCAUAACAAUGGAUGACACAUGUCAUUUAUUUGAAAGGGGCAAUUGCCCCACUACAAGAUGGACCUGCGUUGUAUUAGCUAGUAGGUGAGGUAAUGGCUCACCUAGGCGACGAUACAUAGCCGACCUGAGAGGGUGUUCGGCCACACGGGAACUGGGCCACGCCCCAGACUCCAACGGGAGGAGGCGUAAGGGAAUCUUCGGAAAUGGGGCAACCCUGACCGAGCAACGCCGCGUGAGUGAAGAAGGUUUUCGGAUCGUAAAGCUCUGUUGUAAGUCAAGAACGGGUGUGAGAGUGGAAAGUUCACACUGUGACGGUAGCUUACCAGAAAGGGACGGCUAACUACGUG
rnacentral:rRNA from 1 species